rnacentral:lncRNA from 1 species
GUAAAAUACUGUUGAUAGUUUGGUGAAUUUACAAAUUUAUUUCUUUUAUCUUUUCAGGCAUUGUAGUCAAUCUAGAGAAAUUAGAAGAAGAACAGAAGAGACCCUGUCUGUGAAUGCUAAUGGCAUUCACUGGAGAUUUUGUAUCAUAUUGUCCUUGAUUGGAGCAAAAUAAGGGGUGGCACUGAUGUCUGAAAAAAGAAAAGAAAAGAACAUUACAGAAUGCCAAUUGAAAAACAGGAACUGUAGAAUAGAGUAAUUAUGAGAAAAUAUCAAAUAAAAACUGUAACAUUUAAAUCAAAUUUUAAAAUUUGAUAUGAAGAAAAGGGAAGAAAGAUUGAAAACAUGAAGAUUGAAGAGAGGAAGAUUUGAAAGUUCAGAGAAACCACUGGCAUGAAGAAAAAGAUACAAAUAGUCAAGUGACCAAUAUGAUUAUAACAAUAUACACA